GGUGAUGUAGCUGAGUUGUAGAGCACUUGUCUAGCAUGCACAAGGCUCUGGGUUCAAUCCAUAGUAUUACUA
rnacentral:tRNA from 1 species